GUCUUCAUGCUUGAAAACCCGGCCUGGAUUACGGAAGAGUUCUCUGACUUCUCUUAGUGAAACCUAAAAGAUGUGCUGGUUUGCUCUACCACAUGCUGGCUACCGUAAUGUGUCACCUCACCAUGGACCCAGAAGCAAAGGAACCAAGUGACUAAAACUUGGCUCAAACAAAAAGGUGAAAAGAAGAGCAGGCGUGCUGUUUUAGCCUGGGAGAUGGAAGCUGCCUGUUACAAAUGCCACAGCAGUAAGCAAGAAGGACAUCCUUGUGGUGUCCUUGUGAUUAUGCAGCAGCCUACCUAGUUUGUAUG